rnacentral:tRNA from 1 species
GGAUUGUGGCUCCGCGGUAGAGUGCUUGCCUAGUACGUGCGAGGCCCUGGGUUCGAUCCUCAGCACCA